GGGCAGGGAUAACUGGCUUGUGGCGGCCAA
rnacentral:misc_RNA from 1 species